AUAAAAUGCAGUCAGACACUCAGUUCUGAAGUGGAAAGUUCCUUCUUGAGGGUUUAGAUCUUGUUCUUUUGUCCCAUGUCCCUCUGUAGCAUCAUGAAUCUGUGGCUGAGUGGUUUUAUCCUCUUUGCUUCGCUGUUUCUGUGCAGCUCAGCUCCGACACCUGAAGAAUGCAACCAGCUGGUGAAACCUUUAUCUUUGGCUGACCCCUCCAUGAUGUUUGGCAAAAUGCACUUCAUUGCAGGUUACUACACCAUAAAGUUUAUAAAGCCAUCCUAAAGAUAACUGAGAGCUCCUGGGUGAACAUCAAAGCAUCUCCAUCCAGCAACACUCAGGUUCUCAUGACUCAGGAGAACAAGUUUGGUGGGAUCUGUCUUGGUUCAACAGUAAGCGUGACGAUAGACGGAGACACAGCAAGAGCAUCAAUUCCCAACAUAAACUCUGUUUUCCACGUCCUGCCGAGCUGCAAUGGCUGUCUGGUCUUCAGUAUCAACUCCACUGCCAGACACAUGAAGGAGCUCCUCAAGUUGAUGAAAAUCAAGGAGGCCUUUGAGGAUGAUGAGAUCCAUACUCAAGUUCUUUACCUCUUAAGCAGGGAGUUCACCCUGACGGACUCUGAUCUGGAGCAUUUCAAGAAGCAGGCAAGCUGCCUCGGCUUCUCUGGAGACCCAGACUUCCGCUACAAUCCUAUAAAAACUUUCUGUCAGGAGGGAGAAGGCCUCAGGCUGCCGCAUUCACAAGACUCAGAUCCAACACCUGAAGAGUGCAAGCAGCUGGCAAAACCUUUAUCUUUGGCCGACCCCUCUGUGAUGUUUGGCAGAAAACACUUGCUUGCAUUGUACACGGAUCAUGAUUUCUAUAAAUCAGUCAUUAAGAUGACCGACAGCUCCUGGGUGAACAUCACAGCGUCUCCAUCCAGCAGUUCUCAGGUGCUCCAGACUCAGGAGAACAAGAUUAAUGGAACCUGCCUUACUACAUUGUUCAACAUGACGUUGGACGGCAACACAGUGACAUCAUUCUUUUCGAACGGGAGGUCCGUCUCCCACAUCCUGCCCAGUUGUGAUGGCUGUCUGGUCUUCAUUUCGAACAUCACCAUCAACCAUGUUACUGAUGCGGAUGAGAUCCACACUCGAGCUCUUUAUUUCUUAGGCAGGGAGUCCACCCUGAAGGACUCUGAUCUGGAGCAUUUCAAAAAGCAGGCGCGCUGCUUCGGUUACUCUGGAGAGCCAUACUACCGACACAAUCCUGAGAAAGGUUACUGUCAGGAGGGUGAAGGCAUCAAAGUGCAAUACUGUGAAGGUGAGGUAGAGGCGCAGCAUCGUCCUCAUGAGGAUGAGGAGUAUAGUCAUCCAUGCUGUCAAGACUUGGCAUCCGAAGCCAGCAGACAAACAAACAGAGUGAAGUGCUUUUUCCGUGAACAAAGCAUCACCCUGCAAGUUUCAUAUGUUUCCUACUCAAAAAAGCUCAGUGUGUUUUUCAUCCAGAGUACGAUGUGCUUGUUGAAGGGACCUGGGUUUUUGCUGCUGCUGCUGGCAGCGAUCAGCACUAACGCUGCACCAACCCAUGAACACUGCUCCACCGUGACCAAAAGAAUGCCAACAAAGCACCUGCACAGGAUCUUUGGCGAAUGGGUUCUGGUCUGGUCCGUUGCUGAUCAUGAGGAUGGCCACAGCUUGCUGGCCAACUGCUCCAGUUCUCAUGUAGAGUUCAAACUCCUCCCUGGCAACAAAACCUUCGAGUGCAUCGAGAGGAACGUGUACAAAGGAAGUCUUGACUCUUGUACUACCUACUAUGAAAACAUGACGAUACCCACUGAUGACGCUGAGCAUCACACACUGAAAUACGAUUCCAUCAGAGUGGAGAAGGAUGGACAGGUUGAGCCGUACAACGAUACAGGAGACAUGGACUUUUACGAGGGUUGUCAUGACUGUCUGGCAAUGACCUACAAAACCUCGACGAUACGAUUCCUCCUCAUCUACAAGAGGGAAGGAGCACACCGCGAUGUCGAGCAUCAUAAGACCCACCACAAUGAUCUUAAGAAACUGGCCGAGUGUCUGAAGUUCCCUCACGACAGAGUGUAUACUUACGACGGACUGGCAGAUUUUUGUCACAAGAAAUCCGCUCCAGAGGCCAGUCAAUCUUGAGUAGAUCAAAAGUGGAAAGAUCAGCCGAUAUGUGAAAAAACAUCAUUAAAAGUUAAAUGAAAAUAUGUUCUGAACCC